GCGGGUGCAGCUCAACUGGUGGAGCACGACCUUCCCAAGGUUGAGGUUGCCGGUUCGAAAUCGGCCACCCGCU
rnacentral:tRNA from 1 species